rnacentral:rRNA from 1 species
GAUGAACGCUGGCGGCGUGCCUAAUACAUGCAAGUCGAGCGAACGGACGAGAAGCUUGCUUCUCUGAUGUUAGCGGCGGACGGGUGAGUAACACGUGGAUAACCUACCUAUAAGACUAGGAUAACUUCGGGAAACCGGAGCUAAUACCGGAUGAUAUUUUGAACCGCAUGGUUCAAAAGUGAAAGACGGUCUUGCUGUCACUUAUAGAUGGAUCCGCGCUGCAUUAGCUAGUUGGUAAGGUAACGGCUUACCAAGGCAACGAUGCAUAGCCGACCUGAGAGGGUGAUCGGCCACACUGGAACUGAGACACGGUCCAGACUCCUACGGGAGGCAGCAGUAGGGAAUCUUCCGCAAUGGGCGAAAGCCUGACGGAGCAACGCCGCGUGAGUGAUGAAGGUAUUCGGAUCGUAAAACUCUGUUAUUAGGGAAGAACAUAUGUGUAAGUAACUGUGCACAUCUUGACGGUACCUAAUCAGAAAGCCACGGCUAACUACGUG